UCCGCGCUCCCGGGGGGGGUCUCCGCGCUCCGGGGGGGGGUCUCCGCGCCCCGAGGGUCUCCGCGCUCCGGGGGUCUCCGCGCUCCGGGUCUCGCUCUGGGUCUCAGCUGCAUCGAGGUCUGCACGGGACGAACCCAAAGAGAAGAGACUGUGUGAGAGCCAGGGGAGGGGCAGAGGCAGAGAGAGAGAGAGAAAAUCUUAAGCAGAUUCCACUGUAAUCACAGAACGUGAAGGGGGGCUCAAUCUCAAGAUUGCGAGAUCAUGACCUGAGCCCAAGUCAAGAGUCACGUGCUGAGCCACCCAGGUGCCCCUCAGAUCAGCAUCUUAAGCAGGACUCCUCCUGCUUGAAGGGCGGCACUGAGAGAGAGGUGGGUGCCCUGGAUCCUGAUCGCCUCCUGCCAGGAAGAUACAUGUAGCCAAAGAUGAAUGUGGGCAAAGCAGUCCCUCGUUCCUUUAGCCAUGGAAAAGCAGAGUCACGGUGAGAUGGGGAUAAUCCCAUCAGAGUCUCACUCCCACAUUAAAUUGCUGAAAAUCAACCGGGAACUUCUGGUCACUCACAUCCGCAACACCCAGUGUCUGGUGGACAACUUGCUGGAGAAUGACUACUUCUCUUCCGAAGAUGCGGAGAUCGUGGGUGCCUGCCCCACGCAGCCCGACAAGGUUCGCAAAAUUCUGGACCUGGUACAGAGCAAGGGUGAAGAAGCAUCUGAGUUCCUCCUCUACGUGCUCCAACAACUCGAAGACGCUUAUGUGGAUCUCAGGCCUUGGCUGUCGGAGAUUGGCUUCUCCCCGUCAGAGCUUAUUCAGAGCAAAGUUGUCGUCAACACCGACCCAGUAAGCAGGUACACGGAGAAGCUGCGACAGCAACUGGGCCGGGAUUCCAAGUUCGUCUUGUGCUACGCCCAGAAGGAGGAGCUGCUGCUGGAGGAGACGUACACCGACACCAUCGCGGAGCUGGUGGGCCUCAAGGACGAGAGCCUGGGCCCUCUGGGCAGCCUGGCCUGCCUCCUGGACCGCUCCAGCGGCGUCCUCAGCGAGCAGGGCGAGACCAUCUUCAUCUGCGGCGACGCGGGCAUGGGCAAGUCCAUGCUGCUGCAGCGGCUGCAGAGCCUGUGGGCCGCGCGGCGGCUGGACGCCCAGUUCAAGUUCUUCUUCCACUUCCGCUGCCGCGUGUUCAGCUGCUUCAAGGAGGGUGACGCGCUGUGCCUGCAGGACCUGCUCUUCAAGCAUUACUGCUACCCGGAGCAGGACCCCGACGAGGUGUUCGCCUUCCUGCUGCGCUGCCCGCACGCGGCCCUCUUCACCUUCGACGGCCUGGACGAGCUGCACUCGGACUUCGACCUGAGCGGCGCCCCUGACACCUCCUCCCCCUGGGAGCCCGCCCACCCGCUGGUCCUGCUGGCCAACCUGCUCAGCGGGAAGCUGCUCAAGGGCGCCGCCAAGCUGCUCACGGCCCGCACGGGCGUCGAGAUCCCGCGCCAGCUCCUCCGCAAGAAGGUGCUUCUGCGCGGCUUCGCCCCCAGCCACCUGCGGGCCUACGCCCGGAGGAUGUUCCCCGACCGGACGGUGCAGCAGCACCUGCUGGCCCAGCUGGAGGCCAACCCCAACCUCUGCAGCCUGUGCGCCGUGCCCCUCUUCUGCUGGAUCAUCUUCCGCUGUUUCCAGCACUUCCACAGCGUGUGGGACAGCGCGGCGCAGCUGCCCAGCCGCACGGUGACCCUGACCGAUGUCUUCCUGCUGGUCACCGAGGUCCACCUGAACAGGACGCAGCCCACCAGCCUGGUGCAGCGGAACACGCGGAGCCAGGUGGAGACCUUCCGUGCCAGCCGGGGCACCUUGCGCUCGUUGGGGCAGGUGGCCCACGGGGGCAUGGAGAAGAGCCUCUUUGUCUUUGGCCAGGAGGAGGUGCAGGCGGCCGAGUUUCAGGAGGGGGAGCUGCAGCUGGGCUUCCUGCGGGCCGUGCCAGAGCCGGGCGUGGGCGGCGACCAGCAGUCUUACGAGUUUUUUCACAUCACCCUCCAGGCCUUCUUUACCGCCUUCUUUCUCGUGGUGGACGACCAGGUGGGCACUCAGCAGCUGCUCAGGUUCUUUCAGGAGUGGGCGCCUCCCGGGGAGGCGGGAGCAGAGUCCUGCUAUCCCCCCCUCCUCCCCUUCCAGUGCCUGAAGGGCGGUGGCCUGGCGGGGGAAGACCCCUUCAAGAACAAGGAUCACUUUCGGUUCACUAACCUCUUCCUGUGCGGCCUGUUGUCCAAGGCCAAAGAGAAACUCCUGCGGCACCUGGUGCCCCCCGCUGCCCUGCGCAGAAAGCGCAAGGCCCUGUGGGCACACCUGCUUGCCAGCCUGCGGGCCCACCUGAAGAACCUGCCCCGAACUCAGUCCGGGGGCUUCAGCCAAGUACAGGCCAUGCCCACCUUCAUCUGGAUGCUGCGCUGCAUCUACGAGACCCAGAGCGAGAAGGUGGGCCGGCUGGCGGCCAAGGGCAUCUGCGCCAACUACCUCAAGCUGACCUACUGCAACGCGUGCUCCGCCGACUGCAGCGCCCUCUCCUUCGUCCUGCACCACUUCCGCAAGCGGCUUGCCCUCGACCUGGACAACAACAAUCUCAACGACUACGGCGUGAGGGAGCUGCAGCCCUGCUUCAGCCGCCUCACCGUCCUCAGACUCAGCGUAAACCAGAUCACUGACAGUGGGGUAAAGGUGCUAUAUGAAGAGCUGACCAAAUACAAAAUUCUGACGUUCUUAGGCCUGUACAGCAACCAGAUCACGGAUGUGGGAGCCAGGUACGUCGCCAGAAUCCUGGAUGAGUGCAAAGGCCUCACACACCUGAAGCUGGGGGAGAACAAGAUAACGAGCGAAGGGGGAAAGUGCCUCGCCCUGGCCGUGAGGAACAGCAGCUCCAUCUUAGAAAUCGGGAUGUGGGGUAACAGAAUCGGCGAUGAAGGAGCAAAGGCCUUUGCAGAGGCUCUGAGGAACCACCCCAGUCUGACCAACCUCAGUCUUGCAUUCAACGGCAUCUCCACAGAAGGAGGAAAGAGCCUCGCGCAGGCCCUGCAGCGGAACACCUCUCUGAGAAUAUUCUGGCUCACCAAAAAUGAACUUGAUGAUGAAGUGGCAGAGAGCUUGGCAGAGAUGUUGAAAGUCAACCAGACGUUGAAACAUUUGUGGCUUAUCCAGAACCAGAUCACAGCCAAGGGGAUUGCCCAGCUGGCGGAUGCCUUACAGAAGAACACUGGCAUAACGGAGAUUUGGCCAUAAGAACGAGGUGGUGUUACGGUGCCUCUGGUCUCCCAUGAGUGUGAGAUGCCUCUAGUCACAGACCUGCUAAUUAAUCUGUGACAUCAGGCAGGUGCUAAUGGGAUGAGAUUUUUCCAGCACUAAGGAGCAACGAAGGUUGAAGCAACAAAGGCCCCUUAUGGGCUGGGAUCUUUUUGUAAGAAACUUUCCUUAGAGCUGGCAUGGCUGGACAGAGUGCUGCUUGUAACUGUGCAUCUUGCAUCCCCGGUCUAUUGGACUGACCACCAAGACGCACCCUAACCCUGCAGAGAAGCCAGGAGGCUGAUGUCAUCAGAAAUCGUCCCUUCUGCUGGCUGGAUGGCAGAUGUCCCAGGGUCUCUAUGUUGCAGCAGAACGGAGAUUAGUAUCCUGCCCACUGUGCCAACCAAAGGGAAGGAAAAAUUCUUCCCCUACCCUUCAAGGUCUUCCAGCUGGACUGAGAAUUAAAUUUACAUAAAACAGAUUAACCAGAGGAAUAAACCCAAGUUUUAUUACGUGUGCACAAGCGGGCCAAUAAUGAAAUUGAGAGCUAAAGAAAUGACCAAGCCUAAAUGGAAACUUGAUAAAGCCAGAAGAGGCCAAAGUCUUUGAAGAUGAGAAGAGGAUUGUCUGCUUCUGAGAGGCCACUUCUAUGUGGGGGGUCCGGGAGAGCCCACUGCCUCGAUGACCCAGAUGAGCCUCCCUGUGUAGCUGUUACAAUUUUACAGGGCAGGAGUGUGCCUGGAGAGCCGUUUUAGUUACUGUAAAUACACUAUGAAGAGACAUAAGGCACAUCCAGGGUUAUUUUUAUCGGACAUUAGAGGACGACUGAGCUCAAACACGGCCCUCAGGUCCAGGGCAGUGAGUUGGUCAUGCUGCCUUCAUGGAAGAGGACAUGGUUUAGAGUUAGUGCCAAGCUUCUUGGAGAAAAGGUGCUCAACGAACAAGUGUUUUACCUGGAAAUUCUCUUCCUCCUCAGGUCUUCCCCAUACGUUGACCAUCUGCCCACAUCACAGCUGCGGAUACUGAGGAAUGUGCAGAGUCGGGAUUUGAUAUGUCCACCGUUUUGCCAAAACAAGGGCUCUUCGUAGGCUUUUGUUUUACUCCUGGAGUCUCAGGGUCUGUUGAUAGAGAUCACGGGGUACCCCCUAAGCAGGCUUAAGAGAUAGGGUGAUGUCCUCAUCAUGCUGAGUUUCUGCUCAGGAAGGCUGAUAAGGGCGGGCCUGAGGAAGAACCGUGCCCAUCUUCCAAAAGGCAGAGGCCUGGCUUGCCUUUGUUGGCCCUGGUGUCUAAACAGAAGCUUCUCUCCCUAUCUCUUGCCCUUGUGAGGAAGAGUCUCUUCCCUGCCCCGGAGUAGUAGUGAGGAUGACCCAAGUGGACUUAGGCUGCGGUUGCGAGAACCCAGCCAGCAGAGCAUGUUACAGUGACCAUCAUGGCAGUCAUGUGCUGGAUGUUAAAUGGAGGAGGGGCAGUGAUAUUACCAGAUAACUCGUUUCUUUUGCCAAUUCAUUUAAUAAAAUACUGAAAAUAUUAUUUCUAA